rnacentral:rRNA from 1 species
CCUACGGGUGGCAGCAGUGAGGAAUAUUGGUCAAUGGGCGCGAGCCUGAACCAGCCAAGCCGCGUGAAGGAUGACGGCACUACGGGUUGUAACCUUCUUUUAUGAAGGAAUAAAGUGAGGGACGUGUCCCUUUUUGUAUGUACCUUAUGAAUAAGGAUCGGCUAACUCCGUGCCAGCAGCCGCGGUAAUACGGAGGAUCCGAGCGUUAUCCGGAUUUAUUGGGUUUAAAGGGAGCGUAGAUGGGAUGUUAAGUCAGUUGUGAAAGUUCGCGGCUCAACCGUGAAAUUGCAAUUGAUACUGGCAGUCUUGAGUACAGUUGAGGUAGGCGGAAUUCGUGGGGUAGCGGUGAAAUGCGUAGAUAUCACGAAGAACUCCGAUUGCGAAGGCAGCUUACUAAACUGCCACUGACAGUGAUGCUCGAAAGUGUGGGUAGCAAACAGGAUUAGAUACCCUGGUAGUC